UGAAUAAUAUACUCGCAUGGAAGAUUAUCCGUAACCGGUUACUGGGUUAACAAAGGAUAAAUCAACCGAACAGAAAGGCACCGGGAUACCAAAUUAGGUAUAUAAUGAUGACCAAUCAAAAAGAACAACAGACAUUACCAACAAAAGGGUAAAUGAAAGGCGAUCUGCUGAGGAUAAAUUGCAAGCAUCCGGCAAUUAUCGACAGAAGACUAGCUGGGGAUGCA
rnacentral:lncRNA from 1 species